rnacentral:lncRNA from 1 species
UGGCUGGGCUGAAUCCUGGGCUGGUUUCCGCUUCUUUGCUUGAGGUUGCUGGUGAUGUUCUCCCUGCCUUAACAGAAAGAUGUAAAGGCUACAGAAUUAAGGAUGUGACAGGCUGGCUUUUAGAGGAGGUAAAACUGAAUAACAUCAAUUUACAGGAAUUCAUACUUCCAGAUAAUAAAAUAGAAGUGGAUGUUUGUAUCUCCACAUUCUGGGAUUAAUAUUUAAGCUUAUUUCCUCAUUACUCC